rnacentral:rRNA from 1 species
AUUGAACGCUGGCGGAAUGCUUUACACAUGCAAGUCGAACGGCAGCACGGACUUCGGUCUGGUGGCGAGUGGCGAACGGGUGAGUAAUACAUCGGAACGUGCCCAGUCGUGGGGGAUAACGUAGCGAAAGCUACGCUAAUACCGCAUACGAUCUAAGGAUGAAAGCGGGGGAUCGCAAGACCUCGCGCGAUUGGAGCGGCCGAAGGCAGAUUAGGUAGUUGGUAGGGUAAAGGCCUACCAAGCCGACGAACUGUAGAUGGUCUGAGAGGAUGAUCAGCCACACUGGGACUGAGACACGGCCCAGACUCCUACGGGAGGCAGCAGUGGGGAAUUUUGGACAAUGGGCGCAAGCCUGAUCCAGCCAUUCCGCGUGCAGGAUGAAGGCCUUUGGGUUGUAAACUGCUUUUGUACAGAACGAAAAGGCUCUGGUUAAUACCCGGGGCUCAUGACGGUACUGUAAGAAUAAGCACCGGCUAACUACGUGCCAGCCGCCGCCGUAA